GACGAACGCUGGCGGCGUGCUUAACACAUGCAAGUCGAACGGAAAGGCCCUGCUGUUGUGGGGUGCUCGAGUGGCGAACGUGUGAGUAACACGUGAGUAACCUGCCCUUGACUUUGGGAUAACUUCAGGAAACUGGGGCUAAUACCGGAUAGGAGCUCCUGCUGCAUGGUGGGGGUUGGAAAGUUUCGGCGGUUGGGGAUGGACUCGCGGCUUAUCAGCUUGUUGGUGGGGUAGUGGCUUACCAAGGCUUUGAGGGGUAGCCGGCCUGAGAGGGUGACCGGCCACAUUGGGACUGAGAUACGGCCCAGACUCCUACGGGAGGCAGCAGUGGGGAAUAUUGCACAAUGGGCGGAAGCAUGAUGCAGCAACGCCGCGUGCGGGAUGACGGCCUUCGGGUUGUAAACCGCUUUCGCAUGUGACGAAGCGUGAGUGACGGUAAUGGGUAAAGAAGCACCGGCUAACUACGUG
rnacentral:rRNA from 1 species